rnacentral:lncRNA from 1 species
AGCUCCUGCAAAGGGGCCCAGAAUGGUGGGGAAGCAGAACUUCUGCCUCCAACUCACUUUCUCACCGUGCAACUGCGGAUCCAGAGGAAUCUCUGCAUGUGAGGCUCUGCCAGGUUGGGGAGGAGUGUGCGCUCAACAUCUCUCUCCACUUUUUACCAUUGCAACAGCUUUUCUUAGCUCUGGGGUCCAGGAGUGUGUCUCAGCCUUAGUCCUGAAUUCUGGGACAUGCACGAUGGUAUUCUUGCCUGUGGAGAGCUGCUAGUUGAAUUUCUGUGGUGGUGAGUGAUGUCAGUGAAGUCCCAUUCUGGUUUCUCUCUGAUGUCACACUGAGAGCACAGUUUUGGUGAGAAGAUUAUCUUUGUGUAAAAGCAAAGAAGAGAGGAAAGAACCUGCGUUUCUCCUCUGCACUAUCCGCUGCGUUUUUCUGUAGAAUUGGGUGUGCCAUUUGCAAGAGCUGUGUGUGUGCAGCAGAGCAGGCAGCCAACCAAUCCUUGCGGUUCAGUGUGAGUUGGGAGGGAGAAAGCGCAAACCACUAAGUGUAGACAACACGCAGGGAGUUCAUUUGGGAAGUUUAGCGAGUGGUGUCCAAAGCAGAGUUGCUCCCUCAGCACUAUGGGCAGUUUGGGCCACACAAUUCUUUGUUGUUGGGGAGAGAAGGCUGUCCUGUGCCUUGUAGGAGGUUUGGCAGCAUCCCUGGCCUGGACACCCCAUGACAGUGGCAACCCCUCCCCUAGCGGUGACAAACAUAAAGGUCUCUAGAUGUUGCUAAAUGUCCUCUGGUGGGGGUGGGAAGGGCAUUGCCCUGUGUGAGGACCGCUGGUAGAGACUGUUGCAGGGUUCAGAAAAGAGAUUUUUGUUUUUCAGUUGGGACAUACAUGAUCAGUCUUGGGGAAGGAAGCAGAAGCAAUGGUGGAAUAGGACAAAGAUAAAGGAAAGAGGUGGAAAGUGAUGAACACAGACCGCGAUGACCCGGUGUGGGGUGAUAUGGGCGAGGACAGCAUCCAGCGAAGAGGUCCUGGCUCCUGACUGCAAUUUGGUGGCUCUACUGUACCCUGUGCAACGGGUAUAGAGUCCAAGCCUGGAGGGAGAGCGACUGACAGCCAUGGUCUGGUCACACGCCUGCCUGAGAGCUGCACGGGAGCCGGCGAGGAAAAGCCCUUGCUGCUUCCAGUGUAAGGUCUGCCUGGAUGAUCAAAACAGAUGGGAAGGAGCCAUGGUGGGGCAAUGAUCCUGUUCUGUUGCCUCCUGGAGAUUCAAGCAUUAUAUAUGGAGAGCUAUCAUCUCUACCCCUCCUCCCGGUUUACUCUCAUGGUUAUUGGGGAACAAGUGGUACUCAAGAUGGAUGAAGGACUUAAAUCCAAGACAAGAAACUAUAAAAAUUCUAAAAGACAACAUUGGAAAAACUCUUCUAGACAUUGGCUUAGGCAAGGAUUUCACGAACAAGAACCCAUAAGCAAACGCAAUAAGAACAAAAAUAAAUAGCUGGGACCUAAUCAAACUAAAGAGCUUUUGCACAGCAAAAGGAACAGUCAGCAGAGUAAACAGACAACACACAGAGUGGGAGAAAAUCUUCACAAUCUAUACAUCUGACAAAGGACUGAUAUCCAGAAUCUACAAUGGACUCAAACAAAUUAGCAAGAAACAAAUAAUCCCAUCAAAAAGUGGGCUAAGGACAUGAAUAGACUUUUAGGUUACUUUUAGGUAUUUGUGUGUGCAGACCUCUUGGUGUCAAGGCUAAACUGUUCCUUUCUCUGACACAUGGGAAAUUGAUGCACAAUACCUUGCAGUGUAUAAUUCCAGGCCCCUAGGCACUGGAGACUGGGUUAUCUUUUCACUCAACUGACAGUUGAUACAUUGUUUGCACUGAAAAAUCUGGCUUUGUUGAACCACACCAGUUUAUGUUUUUAAUUCCAAAUCUUACCUUGUUAUGAACUAUUUUUUUGUCCUUUCCUCUAGAGAAAUGCUAAUGCUGCUUGCUUACAUGGAAAGUAAAGUUAAGGAGUUGGUGUUGACAUUUUGGCUUGCUGUCACAGGCAAAAAAGAAUAGUGCUGUUUUUGUGUGUUUAAUUUUCUUUCACUUUCCCCACUCUGUGUAUUGGAGGAUGCCUUUAGCAAUAAGUAGUCCUUAUCCAGGUCACUCACUCAUUAACCGCCAACCACUGACAGUAAUGUCUUUACUAGAUAUUUUGCUUCUUUUGAUUAAUUUGUCUCUAUUUCCUUUGUUCUAAAGCCUAUAGUGAGUAAUCAUAUUUGGAGUAAUAGCAGAGCUCCCUGCUGUGUUUUCAUUUGCUUAAAUCAAGACUUAGCUGCUGUAUUGAGGAACCAAGACUGAGAUGUGGGGCUAGGAGGGCCUAGGGUCUGUCAGGCACUCUUCAGUGACUUGAGGUGCUGAAUGACUCACACUGUACUGGGAGAUGACCACCUGUGUGCAUCCAACACAGUCACAGAUAGUGCCAUUGAGCCACCAGGAGCAGCCACAGACCAUCAGUGGUUGUGCUUUGGAAUACGCAAUUUUGUGUUUCUGGUGAGCUGUAAUCUUUUCUUUUCCCAUAGAAUUAUUUUUCAUUGAAUUAUGCUAUUAAAACUCAUCUUUGGGUUUCUUGUAACGUCAUUGCCGAGAACGUUAUUUUUGCAUUUCACAGUGAUUUCUUGAGGAGGAAGUAAGAAGUAAUUGUUUUCUGGACUCACUGUCUGAAAAACUUGCACUUUACUGAAGCGAUUGUUUUGUUUACACUAAGUAACAAUAUGAGUUUUGUUAGCUUUUUGGAUGGACUACAAAGCAUAAAACCAACUUUGUUCCUCAUCUCUGGCAAAGAUGGAGGGUUGUUGGCUUGUGUUGUGUGAUGAGUCUUAUACCUGGCUCUGUCUGCUCUUGCCUUUUGCCUUACAUUUCAAAGACCUCACUUUUUUCUUUUCUUUUUUUAAAAAAUAUUUUAUCACAUGAUUUUCUAUACAUUUUAAUAAAAUUUCUUUUUUGUAAAAAAAGCAAAGCAUAAAUAAAAUAGGGUAGCCAUUUCUUCUAAGGUUAUGUUGAAUCUAACCCAAACUCUUAUCAGAGAAAACUCUGCUUUAGAUGUAGCCUAAAGCAGGAAGCAACAAACCUGUAUACAGCCAAAGUAUCAUCUCAAGGGCCUGCAUUCAAAUCUCACACAUGUGGCUUGAAAGUGAUCUCUUUUGCCCUUAUUUCAAGGCCUAAUCUUAGGUUACAUAGUACUUAAAGAAGCUUCAGUAUGCAAUUUCAAAGCCUGUAGUAGAUGUAAAAUGAGAAAAUUAGAAAUAAGGAGAAAAGCUGCUACAUGAGGACACUGACAGCAAGGAAAGGGAGAGAAAAACUCACAAAGUAAGUGGAAAAAUAGACCAAUGCAAAUAACCCCACAUAGUUUAACAGACCUCAUCAUAUCUAUUGUGUACAUGUUUGUAUGACAUAGAUUAUAUCUAUUAUAUGUAAUCCAGUGUUCAUAGUGUUGACUUAGAAAUUAUCAACCAAAUUCAAAGCUUUUAGGCUUUGAAAAUUGUUUGAAAAGAUUUUCACCCAAAAUAUUUAAAUUAUUAAAAAAAAUUAUUGUUGAUUAAAGUUGUAAUCCUCAAUUAAUUAGAAGUUUUGGCUAUCCAGAGACCUUAUAUUCCAAAGACUUUAGAGAGUUGUUUGUUAGAUCACAUAAAUUAUUACCAAUAUCCUACAUUUAAGCUUCUAAUUUACGUAAAUUGUGAGCAAAAUUGAGAGCCACACAAAUAUUCAAUCUCUGAAGCUCUUAUGGCAGCAUUGAUCAAAUAGGUUAGAGAACACAUGGAUACAGCUUUAUUGCCUUCUAGUUUUACUGCAAACGUGUUAUUUAAUAGUAUGCAAAUGAUUGGCUAGAUGUACAGACUGCCAGGGCCUUCAUAGCAAACAGGUUUUGUGUUUACCCUAGCAUACAAAAAUGCUUCAUCUACGAUGUAUGCUGUAACUGUGUGUAUUGUCUACCCUAGCAUGCAAAAAUGCUUCAUCUAAAAUGUAUGCUAUAACUAUGUGUAUUAUAUUAUCUAUAAUUAUAUUUCUCCUUGGUUUAAUAUUAGAUAUUUUCAGGUACAAGAAAUGUAUGCACAUUAUAGAUUCAAUGCAUGUAGGUUAUAUGUGUAAAUAUUUAUUGAUAAGAGGCAUUAAACCCCUGCCUUCUAUGCUGGAUAAACUCCUGAACUUAGCCUCCAAAACACCACAGUAGCCUCCCUGGUAAGCACAGGGCUCUUUCUCUACCCUUUUGUGUCUCCCACGCUCCCACUUGUCUACAAGAGCUGAGUGUAGACCAAGAGCAAUAAAGUUCAUUUCCCCAAAAUAAGGCGUAGCAUUCAGGUUUUGUGAUACCUGAUUGGUUUACAUUGUUUACAGGUGGGGCCUCGAAGGGGUAAAAAUCAGAAGCUUCUUAUUCUGAGCGCAAGGGCAAGAUCAUUGAGCAGACAUUGACCUCCCUUCAGACAUUUCUUGGGAGGAACAGAAUGAGAAUUUCAGGGGCCAGUGCCUGCACCCUACUAGCUGUGGCAGCCUGGUGCUCAUCUACUUCUCCAGCUUGGGAAGGCCUAGGUUAACCCCAGUCUUUGGAGGCAUUGUUAUUCCUCUUCUCUCCCUGCUUCCCCGUGUUUGUGUUCUGGGCCCGGUGUAACACUGAGGUUCAGAAUUGCUUUCAAGAGAGGAGCCCAUUUCUGUGUCUAUGCAAGGCUGGACAAUUUCUCCAAGUGGUUCAGCCUGUGGGGGUUAACGGGGCAAAAGCAUCUCAGCUAGUAAUAAACACUGCUUCGCCUCUUGCUUUUUUAUUUUUAUUUUUGCAAAACUUCUCUGUAGGUGUGUAUUUCUCUAGAGGAUUUCAAAAAUUCUCUGUAGGUGCGUAUUUCUGUAGAGGAAGGAGUGGUGACUGGGCCAGGGUGAAUGGAUUAUUUGAUCUAUAUUAUCUUGAAUUUUAUAUCUUUUAUUUUAAAAUUUGGGUGUUUUUUGAAGUAGGAAAUCAAUGCACAUGGCUGAAUAUCUAAAAAGUGUAAAAGUAUACAUUGAAAAGUCUUCCUCCUAAUCUCGUGAUUGUCUUCGUUUCAGUCCCCAUGGCCACAUCAUGAGGCUACUGAUGUCAUUAGUUUCUUUUGCGUUCUUCUAGGGUUUCUGUUGGCAUAUGCAAGCAACAAUAAAUGUAUACCUUUAUGUUUUCUCUUUUUACAGCAAGGACAGUUUAUUAAACACACUGUUUUAAACCUUAUUUUUUCUCUAAAUAAUAUUUCAUAUAAGUCAGUAUGUAGACUUUAUGUAUUUUUAAAAUGAAGACAUAGCGUUCCACUGAACUUAGACAAUAAUUUACUUAACUAGUCCAAGAUUGAAGAAUAAAAUUAUUUUGAAUCUUUUGUUAAUAGUUAAUAGCUUUGAUGAGUACACUUAUGCAUACAUUAUUUUACACAUGUUCAAGUAUGUUGUAUAAACCCCAAAGUGGGAAUGCUCUGUCAAAUAUUACAGGUAUUUGCAACUUUGAUAGAUACUAAUUGCCCUCGAUAGAGGUAGUAAAAGCUUACACUCCACAGCCUUACUGAUGAUAUAUAUUAUAAAACUUUUAGUUCUUGCCAAUCUAAACGUGAAAAAUGGUAUUUCAUGGUAAUUUAAAUGCUUUUCUCGUUUUAUAACUGAGGUUGACAUCUAUCAAAAAAUUAUUUGAAUUUUUCUGAGAACUAUUAAUCUUUGAAUCCUUUUCUGUUGUUUAUCUUUUCCUUCUUCAUUUCUAAAAGUUCCUAUACAGAGAGAUUCACCCGUUAUCUGUGAUAUGAUUACAAAUGUCUGCCCUCCAAUUUGUUAUAUGUCUUUAGAUCCAAAUACCUUAUUUUUUGCCAUGUAGAAAUUUUUAAUUUGUAUGUGAUAAAAUGUUAAUACUUUAUGGAUUCUGGAUUUUCAGAAAUAAAAAGGUCAUCCUCACUUCCAGGUUUUAAAGAAAUUCUUUAAUGUUAUUUUAUGUUUUUGUAUGG